UACGUAGGGGGCAAGCGUUGUCCGGAAUUAUUGGGCGUAAAGAGCGCGUAGGCGGUCCGGUAAGUCGGCUGUGAAAGUCAAGGGCUCAACCCUUGAAAGCCGGCCGAUACUGUCGGACUAGAGUCCGGAAGAGGCGAGUGGAAUUCCCGGUGUAGCGGUGAAAUGCGCAGAUAUCGGGAGGAACACCAAUGGCGAAGGCAGCUCGCUGGGACGGUACUGACGCUGAUGCGCGAAAGCGUGGGGAGCAAACAGG
rnacentral:rRNA from 1 species